UACGGGGGGAGCAAGCGUUGUCCGGAAUUACUGGGCGUAAAGCGUGCGCAGGCGGCUCCUUAAGUCAGAUGUGAAAGCCCCGGGCUUAACCUGGGAACUGCGUUUGAAACUGGGGAGCUAGAGUGUAGAAGAGGGGGGUGGAAUUCCAGGUGUAGCAGUGAAAUGCGUAGAUAUCUGGAGGAACACCGAUGGCGAAGGCAGCCCCCUGGGCUAACACUGACGCUCAUGCACGAAAGCGUGGGGAGCAAACAGG
rnacentral:rRNA from 1 species